GGCAUGCAUGGCUUAAUCUUUAAGACAAGCAUGCCUCAGUACAAACUGUUGUAGAGUGAAACCGCGAAUGGCUCAUUAAAUCGGUUAUGGUUCCUUGGACCUAAAAUUUUACUUGGAUAACUGUGGUAAUUCUAGAGCUAAUACAUGCAUUUCAGUCGUGACCCGAAAGGGAAAGGACGCUUUUAUUAGAUCAAAGCCAAUCGGCCGGCUCGCCCGGUCGUUCCGUUUUGGUGACUCUGGAUAACCUUGGGCUGAUCGCACGGUCUCCGCACCGGCGACGUGUCCUUCAAAUGUCUGCCUUAUCAACUGACGAUGGUAGGUUUUGCGCCUACCAUGGUUGUAACGGGUGACGGGGAAUCAGGGUUCGAUUCCGGAGAGGGAGCCUGAGAAACGGCUACCACAUCCAAGGAAGGCAGCAGGCGCGCAAAUUACCCACUCCCGGCACGGGGAGGUAGUGACGAAAAAUAACGAUACGGGACUCAUCCGAGGCCCCGUAAUCGGAAUGAGAACAUUUUAAAUCUCUUAACGAUUACCCAUUAGAGGGCCAGUCUGGUGCCAGCAGCCGCGGUAAUUCCAGCUCUAAUAGCGUAUAUUAAAAUUGCUGCGGUUAAAAAGCUCGUAGUUUGACCUGUGCCCCGCGCUGCCGGUUCACCGCUCGUCGGUGUCCAACUGGCAUGCGUGCGGGGCGUCCUGCCGGUGGGCGCGAGCCGACCGCGGCGGCAGGCGCUCUCGGGCCGGGCUCCGGCGGUGAGCAAUCGCAGCCGGGCCUGGUUCUCGGGGGCGUUGCGGCCCCGUGGAAGGCGGACCCCGAUCUCACCCGCCGCGGUGCUCUUAACUGAGUGUCGUGCGGGCCGGCACGUUUACUUUGAACAAAUUAACGUGCUUAACGCAGGCCUUUGUCUGCCCGAAUACGCGCCAUUCCUGCAACCAUGCCUCUUGCAAAAGAUUUGUUGCAUCCCUCGCCAGCUGAGGAGAAGAGGAAGCACAAGCUGAAGCGGCUUGUGCAGCAACCUAAUUCCUACUUUAUGGAUGUAAAAUGCCCUGGAUGUUAUAAGAUCACAACAGUUUUUAGUCAUGCACAGAGCGUAGUAGUAUGUACUGGUUGUGCCACUAUUCUCUGUCAACCAACAGGAGGAAGGGCAAGAUUAACAGAAGGUUGUUCAUUCAGAAGAAAACAACAUUAAUUUAAAUUUGAUUAAAAAUCCUCAAGACGCAGCCUUGCAUCAUAAUGGUAUUUGAGUAUGGGUUGGAAAUUUACAAAUGUUGGAUUACCUUGUAUUGAUUUUUCACUUUAAGCAGCAACCUAAUUCCUACUUUAUGGAUGUAAAAUGCCCUGGUAAAUGGUUUUUACUUGAUAAACGUUUAUUAUGAUUUAUUGGAGGAAUGCAGGAUCUUUUGGAACUUCUUGAAAACGGAUGUUAUAAGAUCACAACAGUUUUUAGUCAUGCACAGAGCGUAGUAGUAUGUACUGGUUGUGCCACUAUUCUCUGUCAACCAACAGGAGGAAGGGCAAGAUUAACAGAAGGUUGUUCAUUCAGAAGAAAACAACAUUAAUUUAAAUUUGAUUAAAAAUCCUCAAGACGCAGCCUUG
rnacentral:rRNA from 1 species